CACUAGCCCCGAUAGAAACGGUUACCCCACAGCAGGACGGCAGAUAGGGACAGGGAAUGGAAAGGCUGUGGAGCGUGGAGUAUAAGUGGAUAGCGGGAUAAAGC
rnacentral:misc_RNA from 1 species